AUUGAACGCUGGCGGCAGGCCUAACACAUGCAAGUCGGACGGUAGCACAGAGGAGCUUGCUCCUCGGGUGACGAGUGGCGGACGGGUGAGUAAUGUCUGGGGAUCUGCCCGAUAGAGGGGGAUAACCACUGGAAACGGUGGCUAAUACCGCAUAACGUCGCAAGACCAAAGAGGGGGACCUUCGGGCCUCUCACUACCGGAUGAACCCAGAUGGGAUUAGCUAGUAGGCGGGGUAACGGCCCACCUAGGCGACGAUCCCUAGCUGGUCUGAGAGGAUGACCAGCCACACUGGAACUGAGACACGGUCCAGACUCCUACGGGAGGCAGCAGUGGGAAUAUUGCACAAUGGGCGCAAGCCUGAUGCAGCCAUGCCGCGUGUAUGAAGAAGGCCUUCGGGUUGUAAAGUACUUUCAGCGGGGAGGAAGGCGAUGUGGUUGAUAACCGCAUUGAUUGACGUUACCCGCAGAAGAAGCACCGGCUAACUCCGUGCCAGCCGCCGCAGUAA
rnacentral:rRNA from 1 species